UACGUAGGGGGCUAGCGUUGUCCGGAUUUAUUGGGCGUAAAGAGCGUGUAGGCGGCCAGGUAGGUCUGGUGUGAAAACUCGAGGCUUAACCUUGAGAUGUCAUCGGAAACCAUUUGGCUAGAGUCCGGAAGAGGAAAGUGGAAUUCCUGGUGUAGCGGUGAAAUGCGCAGAUAUCAGGAAGAACACCAAUGGCGAAAGCAGCUUUCUGGGACGGUACUGACGCUGAGACGCAAAAGCGUGGGGAGCGAACAGG
rnacentral:rRNA from 1 species